UCCAACACCCCCGGGGGAGCAGGGGGAGAUGCUGCCGGGAUGCGGGAUGCGGCGGCGGCCGGGCCGGGACCCCCCCGGGCGGGGAGAUAAGGAGGUUAGAGAAGGGGGGGAGGUGAAAGGAAGGGGGACACAGCCGGGAAGGUGAGAGACAGCGAUGCUCUCUCCUCUGGCCCGGAGCAAAAACCUUUGUCCCGCAGGAUUCCAUGAAAACCACCUCACACCGGGAGAAGAGCCGGAUGGAGCGCGGGGGGGGGGGAAUUAUGGCCGGAGAGUUUUGCUCUUGGGACUGCUUUAGGUUGAACCAACAGAUUCCCCCCGGCUGAACCCCUCCGCUGGGCUGAAUUUAGCAGCAGAAGAGAUAACCAGCAGAUAAGGACUGAUACCCUGGGAGGACAGCGGGAGACUGGGAGGCGGCCGAGGAAAGGGAGAGAAGCCGGAGGCAGCGCUGGGAAGGGGAAAAAAGGUGCAAAAGCAAUUCCCGUGGAUUGUUUCACGUGCGUGUGGCCGGAUCCAGCCUCUUUCCUUUUUUCGAGGAAUUCUCGGCCGGCGGAGCCGGGAAUGGCGGGGACGCACAUCCCGAAAUUCGGAGAGGUGAGGAACCGCACCGAGCCCAGCCCGGCGUGACCCAGCAGCCGGCAGGGAGAGGAUGGAUUUAGGACACAAUUUCUCCUGGAAAAAGCUGAUGGGGCACAGCAAAGCGCAGCGACAAAAAAAAGCCCCAAACCAAACCCAAAACUCUGUUCUGAGCGCGAUGGAGCUUUUUUUUUUUCCUUGCGAUUAACGAAAUCUGUGUGAAAAUAACCCAGGGGAGCAAA